GACGAACGCUGGCGGCGCGCUUAACACAUGCAAGUCGAACGGAAAGGCCUUGCUUUUGUGGGGUGCUCGAGUGGCGAACGGGUGAGUAACACGUGAGUAACCUGCCCUUGACUUUGGGAUAACUUCAGGAAACUGGGGCUAAUACCGGAUAGGAGCUCCUGCUGCAUGGUGGGGGUUGGAAAGUUUCGGCGGUUGGGGAUGGACUCGCGGCUUAUCAGCUUGUUGGUGGGGUAGUGGCUUACCAAGGCUUUGACGGGUAGCCGGCCUGAGAGGGUGACCGGCCACAUUGGGACUGAGAUACGGCCCAGACUCCUACGGGAGGCAGCAGUGGGGAAUAUUGCACAAUGGGCGGAAGCCUGAUGCAGCAACGCCGCGUGCGGGAUGACGGCCUUCGGGUUGUAAACCGCUUUCGCCUGUGACGAAGCGUGAGUGACGGUAAUGGGUAAAGAAGCACCGGCUAACUACGUG
rnacentral:rRNA from 1 species